rnacentral:rRNA from 1 species
UGCGAACGGUAACUUUGGGUGCUUGCACCGAAAGACGAGUGGCGAACGGUGCGUAACGCGUAUGCAUCUACCUUUUACUAGGGUAUAGCCCGGAGAAAUUUGGAUUAAUCCCCUAUAAUAUCAUGAAUUCGCAUGAUUUUAUGAUUAAAGCUUCGGCGGUAAAAGAUGAGCAUGCGUCCUAUUAGUUAGUAGGUGAGGUAACGGCUCACCUAGACUACGAUAGGUAGGGGUCCUGAGAGGGAGAUCCCCCACACUGGUACUGAGACACGGACCAGACUCCUACGGGAGGCAGCAGUGAGGAAUAUUGGACAAUGGACGAAAGUCUGAUCCAGCUAUGCCGCGUGCAGGAUGACGGCCCUAUGGGUUGUAAACUGCUUUUAUACAGGAAGAAAAAAUCCGACGUGUCGGAUCUUGACGGUACUGUAAGAAUAAGGAUCGGCUAACUCCGUGCCAGCAGCCGCGGUAAUACGGAGGAUCCAAGCGUUAUCCGGAAUUAUUGGGUUUAAAGGGUCCGUAGGCGGUUUUUUAAGUCAGAGGUGAAAUCCUGCAGCUCAACUGUAGCAUUGCCUUUGAUACUGAAAGACUUGAGUUAUUGUGAAGUAGUUAGAAUGUGUAGUGUAGCGGUGAAAAUGCAUAGAUAUUACACAGAAUACCGAUUGCGAAAGCAGAUUACUAACAAUAUACUGACGCUGAGGGACGAAAGCGUGGGUUGCGAACAGGAUUAGAUACCUGGGAGUCCAGCCGAAAAGAGGGUAUAGCUGUCAACAAC